AGUGAACGCUGGCGGUAGGCCUAACACAUGCAAGUCGAACGGCAGCACAGUAAGGGCCUGCUCUUACGGGUGGCGAGUGGCGGACGGGUGAGGAAUACAUCGGAAUCUACUUUUUCGUGGGGGAUAACGUAGGGAAACUUACGCUAAUACCGCAUACGACCUACGGGUGAAAGCAGGGGAUCUUCGGACCUUGCGCGAUUGAAUGAGCCGAUGUCGGAUUAGCUAGUUGGCGGGGUAAAGGCCCACCAAGGCGACGAUCCGUAGCUGGUCUGAGAGGAUGAUCAGCCACACUGGAACUGAGACACGGUCCAGACUCCUACGGGAGGCAGCAGUGGGGAAUAUUGGACAAUGGGCGCAAGCCUGAUCCAGCCAUACCGCGUGGGUGAAGAAGGCCUUCGGGUUGUAAAGCCCUUUUGUUGGGAAAGAAAAGCAGCAGGUUAAUACCCCGCUGUUCUGACGGUACCCAAAGAAUAAGCACCGGCUAACUUCGUG
rnacentral:rRNA from 1 species